ensembl:lncRNA
ACAGACAGACAGAGAGAGGGAGAGAGAGACAGACAGACAGAGAGAGAGGGAGAGAGAGAGACAGACAGACAGAGAGAGGGGGAGAGAGAGGUGGAGAUGAGAGAGACAGACAGACAGACAGAGAGGGGGAGAGAGAGACAGACAGACAGAGAGAAGGGGAGAGAGAGGUGGAGAUGAGAGAGACAGACAGACAGAGAGAGGGAGAGAGAGACAGACAGACAGAGAGAGGGGGAGAGAGAGACAGACAGACAGAGAGAGGGGGAGAGAGAGGUGGAGAUGAGAGAGACAGACAAACAGACAGACAGAGAGAGGGAGAGAGAGACAGACAGACAGACAG